rnacentral:rRNA from 1 species
AUUGAACGCCGGCGGCAGGCUUAACACGUGCAAGUCGAGCGGGGGAAGGUAGCUUGCUACCGGACCUAGCGGCGGACGGGUGAGUAAUGCUUAGGAAUCUGCCUAUUAGUGGGGGACAACAUCUCGAAAGGGAUGCUAAUAACGCAUACGUCCUACGGGAGAAAGCAGGGGAUCUUCGGACCUUGCGCUAAUAGAGGAGGCUAAGUCGGAUUAGCUAGUUGGUGGGGUAAAGGCCUACCAAGGCGACGAUCUGCAGCGGGUCUGAGAGGAUGAUCCGCCACACUGGGACUGAGACACGGCCCAGACUCCUACGGGAGGCAGCAGUGGGGAAUAUUGGACAAUGGGGGGAACCCUGAUCCAGCCAUGCCGGGCGUGUGAAGAAGGCCUUAUGGUUGUAAAGCACUUUAAGCGAGGAGGAGGCUACUCUAGUUAAUACCUAGGGAUAGUGGACGUUACUCGCAGAAUAAGCCACGGCUAACUACGUGCCAGCAGCCGCCGUAAUAC